CCGGAAGCAGUAAUUUAGCUUCUCUUCCGCGAUUAGCACGUCUUUAGCACAACAGAAGGUUCGGUUGGCAGGAGUCUGAAGACUGGACGAGAUGGUGUCACUUGAGCUCUAUGGAGAUUUAAUAAGAGACAUGAUUGAUCAAAACCUCUCGCACGCGGACAUUUCCACGAAUUUAUCACAAUAAGGUGUGCAGCGAUGUUCUGAAAUGAGUGUCAGGAGAUUUUGUGCACAACAUUGUGCAACAUUUCCAGGAGGGGACAUGUAUCCGACACACAAUUAGAAGUUGCUAUCAGCAGGGCAAUAAAUCAGACAGGGUCAACAUAUGGUUGAAAGAUGAUGACCAGGUACCUGUCUGCGAUGGGAGUAGUUGCUGGUGAACGCCAGAUAGGGAGGAUUUUGAAAACAACACAUUGUCCUUAUCACGAAAUGCGCAAACGUGGUGCACGUAACCUUAACCCCGUCCCCUACAGUGCUGCAUACAUGGGACACAAAAUCCACAUCGACCAGAAUGAAAAACUGGUCAUGUUCGGAGUGACGCACGUUUUUGCAGUAGAUGGGUACAGCAGUAAGGACGUUGCCCAUGCAACCAUGCCUGUCAAGAAUAACCUCACGAUAUAUGAGGAAGUUUACAGAUCAGCAGUUCUUGAAGAUGGGAUGUGGGACCAGGUCAGGGUGGACCAUGGCCGUGAGUUUUACUUGUCCCUCUACAUGCAGGAGAUGCUGUCUAACCACAGACACAACUUGCAAAGGUGGAAGCUGAAUUAGUGAGGAUGACUCCUGCUCCUGUCAUCUCUAAGCUCCUCACACAUCUUUACCUGCACAUGAGGAAAAUCACUCCUGUAGAAUGCAGUGGUUCAUCAGAACCUCUGGGGAUGUCCUGUGGAUUCUGUGGAUCCUGUGGGUUGCAGGGUGGGUCCUACCUAGACCAGGCUGAUCCUGGACCAUCCCACAGAUGCUCCAUCAGAUGUGGAUGUGGGGAGUGUGGAACCCAGAUGUUCAGAGGGAGAUGAUGCCACAUCUGGUCCAGCUGAUGGAAGGUCUUGAAGUUCUCUGACUGGCCUCGACUGAAGAUGGUCGUCUCACUGGAUUUAAGAGAUGCACAAUGAGGGACGUCUGCAGAGACUGAGAAAGAGUCUCACCACAUCCUGACAUGAGGAAAAAGACUUUAUUGAAGACUGCAAUGAGAAAAACUAUCAGACAGCAGAUGGCUGCCAUUCAAGUCUGUAGCUGCUGAAUUCAUGGAUGAAUCAUCUGGCACUCGAGAGGAAGACCAUCAAACAUCCAUGUCAGCUGAUGGAGGUCCAAGAGUCUCACCGAACAAACAACCUACAGAGUGAAGACCUCAAAUCUGAUUGGACGGCCUCCUAUUCAGCCACGUGUGAACAAAUGCCUCUAAGCUGAUUUGUUUUCUAAAAUAAAUCUAGUUUGAGUCCUAAUCUAUGCCUGUGUGUUUGCUUC
ensembl:lncRNA